GUUGUUGGCUGUGGGCCCCCUCUUUUGUUUUUGCUGUGCGAUUUUUUUUGUGUCUUUUUUUUUCCUCGUAACCGUUUCGUGUGUUUCUUUCACACACGAAAAAAAUACAAGAUUCAGUUUUAUUAAUUGUGAACGACGGCGGCGGGCACAUAAAAGUAUCGCGCCUAAAAAAACAAUAAUUUUUUUCGUAGUUCUUUUUUUGUGUGAUUUUUUGCAACUCUCAAGUGAAACCCAAAGAAAGCUGCUAAGAAAGUAUUUAUAAAAACCAUUGGUGGUUACAUGAAAGAAAAUCAUAAUUAAACAAGAAAAUUUGCCAAAAAAAAAAAAAGAAUUAUUGCCUGAGGUGUUUUGAGUGAAUGAAUGCUGUUGGGCUGUGCGCGGGCCAUAACCGGCCAGCCGUGUCGUAAUCUACGCAUUUGCGAAAAAAAAAUGUGCUGCUGUUGUUAGACAAAAAAGAUAUACAAUUCAACUAUGAUUUUUUGGUUUUUCAAUAGAGCUGUGUUGAAAGGCCUAAUUGUGCCCUCCUAUCCCCUCCAGUGGUGUAGAGUAUAAAAUAAAAAAAAAAAAAAACAAAAAUUAAAAUAAGGUGUUAAUGUGGAAUCUGUGGAGUUUGCAAAGAGGGCCUUGUGAAUACACUGAAAAUUGAUUUAAAAAUUCGCAACAACAUUAAAAAAAAAAAAAAAUAUUGAAAAUAUAAAAAAAACCAAAAUAUUUUUGUUGCUCUUCUCGAAAACUCUUUGUUUUCAAUUGUGAAUUUUUCACUUUUCCUUCGCUUUUUGUUCUGGAAAUUGCAUGCAAUUGUUUUUGUUCGUCAUCAUCCAACAUGCUGGUCAAUCGUGGUUCCAUUAAUGAAGGUAAGUGUUGUUGAAAACCCCCUCUUACUUUUAUCAAAAUAUUAAAUUCUGAUUUAAUACAACAAUGUGGCAAGGUAAUUUUAAUAAAAAUAAAUAUUUUUUUAUAUAUAUUUUUAUAUAAUAUAAAUUAUUUAAUUUCUUAAAAUGUAACUAGAAUACAUUUACUGUUCAAUUUACACAUCAUAUCAUUGAUGCAGAACGAUACUUCAAUAAUUUGUCCAAAAACAAAAAUUGAAAUUUUAAUGUGAAAAAUAGAAAAUAAUAGAUUACCUCAGUUGGUUUACUAAAGUCAGGUACAGAACAGAACUCCUUGGCUGUAGAAAUGUUUUAUUUUAUAUUUUUUAUAUAAAGUUAAGGCUUUCAUAAAACUCUUUCAUACAAAAAAUUC